AUUAAUAUUAAUCAAUAUAACAAAAAAUAUUUUAACCAUAUGGUCCUUUCGUACUAAUAUGGAUUAACAAUCUUAGGAUAGAAACCGACCUGGCUCACGCCGGUCUGAACUCAGAUCAUGUAAGAAUUUAAAGGUCGAACAGACCUAAUCAUUGGGCUCCUGCACCCAAAAUUUUUCUUAAUCCAACAUCGAGGUCGCAAUCUGCUUUGUCGAUAUGAGCUCUCAAAAACAAUUACGCUGUUAUCCCUAAGGUAACUUAAUCUUAUGAUCAUAAAUUAUGGAUCAAAAUAACAAACAUAAAUAAAUGAUAUAAUAAUGAAGAGUUUAUCUAUUCUUCAUGUCACCCCAACAAAACAUCAUCAUUAAAUAUAGAAAGACAAACAAAAAACUAUAUAAAAGUAAAAUGUCAAGCUCUAUAGGGUCUUCUCGUCCUAAAGAAGAAUUUAAGCCUUUUGACUCAAAAGUUAAAUUCAAAACUUUAUUAAGAGACAGUUGAUUUCUCGUCAAGCCAUUCAUUCCAGCCACUAAUUAAGAGACUAAUGAUUAUGCUACCUUUGCACGGUCAAAAUACCGCGGCUCUUUAAAAAUACGCUCAGUGAGCAGGCCAGACCUCAAAAUAUAAACAAGAGGACAUGUUUUUGAUAAACAGGCGGAAAUCAAUUUUGCCUAGUUCCUUAUAAUAAGUUCACAAGGUAAAAAUUUCAUACAAAUAAAUAUACUAAUUCUAUCAUUAUAACAAAAAUUUUAAAAUUAAAUUAAUAAUCUUAAUAAAAAACCUAAAAUAUUUAUAAAAUCAAAAUAAAAAAUAAUGAACUAAAACGU